AUCCCAAAUCUCCUCCAUUCCUAUCUUGUCUUUAGCCACAGCAUGCCACUCGCAAUGGAGAAAAUUCAAAUCUAAAUUUAAGAAAAAUGAUUUUAAUCCUAUAAUUAUUACGAAACACGAUGAAACGAAUUUUAGGUUGCAGGAUUGAAGUGUGAAUUACACGCGCAUGAAAGGAGAAGGGAAUAGCGAAGGUGAGGCCAACUGCUUUUGCUGUAAUAAAUGAAUAAAUUAAAUAAAAUCUUUAUCUUUCCCUUAUAAGUGUCUUUCGUCAACUUCCCUUGUCCAAGCCUCUUUCUUUUCCCAUUAUUUUUCCUGCAUUUUCUCCCUCGCCAAACAGAAAUCUUAGAUCAUUUCUAGACGCAGCGAACGAUGGAGAAAGCGAUCAACCGACAGCAAGUUUUGCUUCAACACCUUAAUCCUUCAGCUUCUUCUUUUUCGUCGCACCAAAACAACUCUGCCCUCUCUGCAUCGGCUUGUUUAGCUGGAGAUAGCGCUGCUUAUCUAAGAACUAAUGUAUUUGGAGAUGAUGUGGUGAUAGUAGCAGCAUAUAGGACCGCGCUUUGCAAAUCCAAGCGAGGGGGUUUCAAGGAUACUUAUCCUGAUGAUUUACUUGCACCUGUUUUAAGGGCAGUGAUAGAGAAAACAAAUUUGAAUCCUAGUGAAGUUGGGGAUAUUGUUGUGGGAACGGUAUUGGCACCAGGAUCUCAACGAGCUAGCGAAUGUCGGAUGGCUGCAUUCUAUGCUGGCUUCCCUGAAACUGUGCCUGUUAGAACUGUGAACAGGCAAUGCUCAUCCGGGCUUCAGGCAGUUGCUGAUGUAGCCGCAGCGAUAAAAGCAGGGUUUUAUGAAAUUGGCAUUGGAGCUGGGUUGGAAUCUAUGACUACUAAUCCAAUGGCAUGGGAAGGUUCAGUUAACCCAAGGGUGAAGCAAAUGGAGCAAGCUCAGAAUUGUCUCCUUCCUAUGGGUGUUACGUCAGAGAACGUUGCUCAUCGUUUUGGUGUGACGAGGCAGGAGCAGGAUCAGGCUGCAGUUGAAUCUCACAGGAAAGCAGCUGCUGCUACAGCUUCUGGUAAAUUCAAAGAUGAAAUAGUCCCUGUGGCCACCAAGAUUGUUGAUCCAAAGACUGGUGAUGAGAAACCUGUCACAAUCUCUGUUGAUGAUGGGAUCCGAGCUAACACAUCAGUGUCAGAUCUGGGAAAAUUGAAGCCUGUAUUCAAGAAAAAUGGGACCACUACUGCUGGAAAUUCUAGUCAAGUGAGUGAUGGUGCUGGAGCUGUUCUGCUUAUGAAAAGAAGUGUUGCGAUGUGCAAAGGACUACCAAUUCUUGGUGUUUUCAGGACUUUUUGUGCUGUUGGUGUGGAUCCUGCUAUCAUGGGUGUUGGCCCAGCUGUGGCAAUUCCAGCAGCAGUUAAAUCUGCUGGUCUAGAACUUGAUGAUGUUGAUCUUUUUGAGAUAAAUGAGGCAUUUGCAUCCCAGUUCGUAUAUUGUCAAAAAAAGUUGGAGCUCGAUCCACAAAAGAUUAAUGUAAAUGGAGGCGCAAUGGCAAUUGGACAUCCAUUGGGCGCAACAGGUGCUCGUUGUGUUGCUACGCUUCUGCAUGAAAUGAAGCGUCGUGGCAAAGACUGCCGAUUCGGAGUGGUUUCGAUGUGCAUAGGCACAGGAAUGGGGGCGGCAGCGGUCCUCGAAAGGGGUGAUUGUGUUGAUGAGCUGUGCAAUGCCCGAAAAGUUGAAACUAACAGUCUCUUAUCUAAGGAUGCCCGAUAGGAUACCCUAGUUUUCUUGUUAAAAAUAUCCUAAAUCGAGUUGGAAAAUUUAAUAAAGCAAUGUACCCCACAAUGGAAGUGGAUUUUGUUAGCAGUGCAACUGAUGUUGAUCUCGAAAUGAUUCGUUGUCAUAUGCGAAGGGUUUUUUUUUAACCACAAUUGUGUAGCUGUUAUGCUUACCAAAACCUCAAGAAGAUCAUUACCAUUUUACAUGUCAACAUGAAUUGUUUGAACUUUUUUACUUUCUAGAGAUGAACUGUCUUAAUAAGCGAUGAUGACUGGAAAAGGGAGUUCUUUUAUUAUUUAUAUUGACUUAAAUAUUUAUCAAGUUACUUGCGUUCAGCUUGCAGAUAUUAUAAA